rnacentral:rRNA from 1 species
UACCUGCAGCUCAAGUGGUGGCCGCUAUUAUUGGGCCUAAAACGUCCGUAGCCGGUUUGGUAAAUGCCUGGGUAAAUCGUGUAGCUUAACUAUACGAAUUCUGGGUAGACUGUCAAACUUGAGACCGGGAGAGGCUAGAGGUACUCUUGGGGUAGAGGUGAAAUUCUGUAAUCCUAGGGGGACCACCAGUGGCGAAGGCGUCUAGCUAGAACGGGUCUGACGGUGAGGGACGAAGCCCUGGGGCACAAACCGGAUUAGAUACCCGGGUAGUCCAGGGUGUAAACGCUGCUUGCUUGAUGUUAGUUGGGCUCUGAGCCCAACUAGUGUCGGAGAGAAGUUGUUAAGCAAGCUGCCUGGGAAGUGCGGCCGCAAGGCUGAAACUUAAAGGAAUUGGCGGGGAGCACCACAAGGGGUGAAGCUUGCGGUUU